GGCUGCAGGCACUCAGUUCCCAGCCAGGGACCACUUUCCGCAGCCGCUCUUUCUCUUACUUCUUCAUCUCUGUUCCCCUUUAGCUUCGGCAUAACGGUUGCUUCGUUUCAACCAUUAAAUGCUGCCGUGCAUUGUCUCUUUCCUCCGCCGCCCGCCUUGCUCUGUACAUCGCCAGUUCUUGUCCUUGCUUCGUCAAUUGCCCCCUCGUUUCUCUCUCGCUGCCUUUUUUUUCUCCCCUCUCCGUCUGAGCGAUUCUAUUUUGCAAGGCUUCACUUUCCUGCCGCCCCUGUGUGAGCCCUUUCUGAAACAUCUCUUUGCAGGAUUCAAUGCACCGGGGAAAAGUGCACACAAUAACAGUCGGCGCAGUACUCCUACUCUAACUCAACUGAAUGCCUUAAAGUGAGAAACAUUGCCAGUGCACUAUCCAACACAACUCAAUGUUUGUGAUUACUAUAUAAAUCUGACACUAUUGCAGGUUGAUGGAGCACCUCUUGAAUAAAUAGACUACACAUGUAUUACUGUACUACUCAAAUCAACGCGUCGAGUACGAAGAUGAACGUCUAAAGAGAGAAAAGUAGCAUCCUCAAAACGGAUCGUUCGACAGUUAUACAGCGUUUGUCAAAAGAUCAUUCAUUGUGUGCUGCUUGCAGAAGUAGACCGAGGAAAGAACUCUGCUUGUGCGUUUAAUCAUUGUCCUGGAAGGACGGCAACUGGUGUGAAUAUUAAAUAUAAAAAUGUCUUACUUUAUUUUUUUCCUAAUGCAUAAACUUUUUAAUAGGUUUGCUUUUGAAGGUAUUACGUAAAGCUGGUUGCGUUGUCAUUUCUAAUUAUUUAUUGCUUUAUCGCAGCGUAGCCUGGAUAUUUUGGGGUCCCAAAUGCGUGACAUAAAGGCAGUCCAUGCUCUUAUUGUGGGUGUUCUUUGUAUGUCAUUAAAAGGAUUGCGGAGAUUACUGGAAACAA